rnacentral:lncRNA from 1 species
UGUUAUAUCUGGAUUAUCAAAAGCAAUAGUGCACCAAUUAAGAUGUGCUCAAAUCAGGACUUAAAUCAUAGGCACCACAUUUUUCAUGUCAGACUAGUUACUUUGUUGAUUCUCAGUUACUGUAGGCAUCAAAAGGCAAAAAUCAAAAAAAAAAAAAACAAAAACAAAAAAAAAGAUGAACCUAGGUCUGUGUAAAGUAAGGGGAGUGUUAGGAGCAGCCAGGACUGUGUAGUGUGUGUUUGGUUGCAUCACAAACAUCGUAUGUGGAGACAUUGCAAUACAGUGUUUUUUGUUUUCAACUUUUCUUGUAUUGUAUAUUUGUAUUAUGUUUUGAAUGCUUUUCUCUUUUCAUAAUUAAAUAUUAAUGUUUGGGAUAACUGCCAAGAAGAAGUAAAAAUAUUGAAUGGAACUUCUAUAUGAGGAUGCUGUGAUCUAAAAAUUAAAUCUCAGUGGGCGGAGAGAAUUUGUUUCUGAUGCCUUGUCUUUAGAAUAAUUGUUUGCUUUCAGAUGAUUAAAAAAAGGAGAUUGUAUCUAGGAAAAAAGUGUGAAUGCUUCAAAGGAGAGAUACUGAUAAUUGUGACUUGAAAUAGUGUCAGAUGAAUUAUGUAGCUGAUCACUGAUGGAACCAUCUAAUGAGGCAGGCUUAAACUCUAUUUAGUUUCGUUUGUUUUCUCAUAUGAAGUUUAUAAUUCCUUUCAGUCCUAAAAUGUCAGAUGCCAGGUGUCAAAUGCCACAGUAGAAAGUGAAAUUAAGUAGAGUCCCCUUUUAAACAAAUUUGUCUGUAAGCAAAACUAUCUUUAGUGACUUAAAAAAUAAUAUCCUCUAAAAUUACCCUUUCAAGAGGAAAAAACUGUUCAAUGAAAAAACCACUCAAUUAUGACUCAUAUAAGAAAUACUGGUUUAACCAGGAGAUAUUUGGGGAGCAAAAUUUUAAGGAAUUUCAAAUUGCUAAAUCUAAUACAAAUAUCUGACAAUAAGAUACAGAUCUAAAAGAAUGGUUCUUAAGAACUAUUGUUUACUGGGAAUAAACUAAGCUCUAUGAAGAAUUCGUAAGCAUUACAUGUUCCAGUAAGUUUAGCAACUUAGAGCCAAGACUGGUGGCCACCUCCAUUUAUUUCCCCACUGCUCCUCCACUGACAUCCUUCUUAGCAGAAACUUCAUGAAAAAGUUUUUGCUGACACAGAACAAACCUGAAAGUAGUAUCUACUUUCUAAAUACUACUUUGCUUUUCAGUAGUGGAUUUGAUAUUUAUAAUGUUCUCUAAAGCUUGCAACUUUUUCAGCAACGUUUAAAAAUAGAUUAACCUGGAAUAACUUACUUGUUUGCUGCUAAAAUACUCAAGAUUUUGCCAUUUUUAAACAACCAGUCCCUGUGAUACAACUUUGAAAAAACUUUUAAAAAUCUCUGAUGUGUGGGCUCUUUUUUUCCCAUAAGAAUUAUGUACAUCUGUGAUGUUUUACAGGGGGAUCCGCUUUUAAACAGUGUACAUAUUGGACCACACUGAAAUGUCAUAUAUCCUUUCUCUACUUAAAAUUGGUUAUUUACUGUGAGUUCAUUUCCGAUGUGUUCUUGGUUGUUGCUGUUUUCUGCCUGAAGACGUGUAUCAUAAAGAGCUACAUGGUAUGGACUAUUUAUUUGUAAUUUGACAUAAAGUUUGAAGAAUAAAGAUCUAUAAAAGUUGAAGUUUCUGAUAUU